GGGGAUGACGUCAAGUCAGCAUGGCCUUUAUGUCCUGGGCUACACACACGCUACAAUGGCCAACACAAUAGGUUGCUAAGCCGCGAGGUGGAGCCAAUCCUCAAAGUUGGUACUCAGUUCAGAUUGCAGGCUGCAACCCGCCUGCAUGAAGAUGGAGUUGCUAGUAACCGCAGGUCAGCUAUACUGCGGUGAAUACGUUCCCGGGGCUU
rnacentral:rRNA from 1 species